rnacentral:rRNA from 1 species
CACCAGGUUGAUUCUGCCUGACGUAGAUGCUAGUCUUUGAGAUUAAGCCAUGCAUGUUUAUGUAAUAAGGACGAAUAGCUCAGUAAAACUGCGAUUAUUUAGUCUGUUAAAGAUAACUACUUGAAAAUGUAGCUAAGAAAGAACAGAAUAAGACGUAGGACUAUCAGCUAGUUGGUAGUGUAAUGGACUACCAAGGCGGUAAUGGUUAACGGGGAAUUAGGGUUCUAUGCCGGAGAGGGAGCCUGAGAGAUUGCUCCCACGUCCAUGGACGGCAGCAGGCGCGAAAAUUGCCCACUCUCGUAGAGGCAGUUAUAAGACGUGAAGAAGAAUGUUUGGUAAAAAGAAACAGGAGAAUUGGAGGGCAAGUUUGGUGCCAGCAGCCGCGGUAAUACCGACUCCAAGAGUGUGUAUGAGAGAUGCUGCAUUUAAAAAGUCCGUAGUCUUGUAAUUAUAAAUAAGGAUAUGAAGUCUUGAAGUUAUAGAGUAGAAGAACCAAUGGGGAACAUAGUAUACCAGGGCUAGAGAUGAAAUGCCUGAACCCCUGGUGGACUAAGCGAGGCGAAGGCGAUGUUCUAGUGGGUAUUUGUUGAUCAAGGACGAAGGUUGGAGUAUCGAACGCGAUUAGAUACCGCAGUAGUUUCAACAGUAAAAGAUGCCGACAUGUCGAUUGGCAACAGUUGACGGGGAGAAAUCUUAGAGUUCGGGCUCUGGGGAUAGUAAGCUCGCAAGAGUGAAAAUUAAAGAAAUU